AUUGAACGCUGGCGGCAGGCUUAACACAUGCAAGUCGAGCGGGGUGAUGGUGCUUGCACUAUCACUUAGCGGCGGACGGGUGAGUAAUGCUUAGGAAUCUGCCUAUUAGUGGGGGACAACAUCUCGAAAGGGAUGCUAAUACCGCAUACGUCCUACGGGAGAAAGCAGGGGAUCACUUGUGACCUUGCGCUAAUAGAUGAGCCUAAGUCGGAUUAGCUAGUUGGUGGGGUAAAGGCCUACCAAGGCGACGAUCUGUAGCGGGUCUGAGAGGAUGAUCCGCCACACUGGGACUGAGACACGACCCAGACUCCUACGGGAGGCAGCAGUGGGGAAUAUUGGACGAUGGGGGGAACCCUGAUCCAGCCAUGCCGCGUGUGUGAAGAAGGCCUUAUGGUUGUAAAGCACUUUAAGCGAGGAGGAGGCUCUUUUGGUUAAUACCCAAGAUGAGUGGACGUUACUCGCAGAAUAAGCACCGGCUAACUCUGUGCCAGCAGCCGCGGUAA
rnacentral:rRNA from 1 species